AUUGAACGCUGGCGGCAGGCCUAACACAUGCAAGUCGAACGAGUGGCGGACGGGUGAGUAAUGUCUGGGAAACUGCCCGAUGGAGGGGGAUAACUACUGGAAACGGUAGCUAAUACCGCAUACCAUCGGAUGUGCCCAGAUGGGAUUAGCUAGUAGGUGGGGUAACGGCUCACCUAGGCGACGAUCCCUAGCUGGUCUGAGAGGAUGACCAGCCCAACGGGAACUGGGACACGGGCCAGACUCCUACGGGAGGCAGCAGUGGAGAAGAGUGCACGAUGGGGGCAAGCCUGAAGCAGCCAUGCCGGGUGUAUGAAGAAGGCCUUCGGGUUGGAGAGUACUUGCAGCGGGGAGGCGUUACCCGCAGAAGAAGCACCGGCUAACUCCGUGCCAGCAGCCGCGGUAAUU
rnacentral:rRNA from 1 species